rnacentral:rRNA from 1 species
CCUACGGGAGGCAGCAGUGAGGAAUAUUGGUCAAUGGGCGCAAGCCUGAACCAGCCAAGUCGCGUGAAGGAUGACUGCCCUACGGGUUGUAAACUUCUUUUAUAAAGGAGUAAAGUGAGGCACGUGUACCUUUUUGUAUGUACUUUAUGAAUAAGGAUCGGCUAACUCCGUGCCAGCAGCCGCGGUAAUACGGAGGAUCCGAGCGUUAUCCGGAUUUAUUGGGUUUAAAGGGAGCGUAGAUGGGUUGUUAAGUCAGUUGUGAAAGUUUGCGGCUCAACCUGAAAAUUGCAAUUGAUACUGGAAGUCUUGAGUAUAGUUGAGGUAGGCGGAAUUCGUGGUGUAGCGGUGAAAUGCUUAGAUAUCAUGAAGAACUCCGAUUGCGAAGGCAGCUUACUAAACUGCUACUGACAUUGAUGCUCGAAAGUGUGGGUAUCAAACAGGAUUAGAUACCCUUGUAGUC